CUGGAAAAGAAUAAAAGGCGUGGGAAAACUUAAUUUUAGCGCAACAGAAACAUUUAAGUGUAUGGAAGAUGUAGUAAAAGAGAAACUUGGUGACUGUGAAGAUUGCAAAAAUUUUGCCGGAAAAGUUGGCCGGUGGUUGUCAGGGCAAGGAGAUCGAGAACAGGGUCGAAAACAAAGAUCCUUAUCUUUAUAAUCUAUUUAAUAUAAUAAUCCUUAU